CCGUUGGACCGGGCCUUCCCGGUCCUCCUGUCCUGAAUUGGAAUCAAGGAAGAACCGGCUGAGGCCUCCCACUCCGGCUGGUGGGCCUGGUCACAACUGGUGGAGUGGAACACCGGCACUCCCACCUGAGUACAGGCGUAGCAUUCAAUGGAAUUGGAGAUGGGGCCGUCGUCUUCUUCGUAGUUUUCAUCGGAGUUUGCUUUCCGGCGCCGGAAUAUUCCAAUCCACCUGUUUUCACACAAACACAGAGAGUGAGCUUCAGAAUUAGAAUAAGAAUAACGUCAGUGAAUAAGAUGAGACCUUGGAAGGGAGAUUUGGAAGUUGGGUGGAGCGUCCAUUGUCGGAAAAGAGAAACCAUGGGAGAGAGAGAUAGAGAAGAGGGCGGAAGUGAAAAAGAUUAGGAGAGAAGGGGAUGAAGAGUUGGGGGUAAUGGGUAUUGGUUUAUGGGGUGGGGGGAUAUAGACAUAGUGGU
rnacentral:lncRNA from 1 species